rnacentral:rRNA from 1 species
UUAAGCGACUAAGCGUACACGGUGGAUGCCCUGGCAGUCAGAGGCGAUGAAGGACGUGCUAAUCUGCGAUAAGCGUCGGUAAGGUGAUAUGAACCGUUAUAACCGGCGAUUUCCGAAUGGGGAAACCCAGUGUGUUUCGACACACUAUCAUUAACUGAAUCCAUAGGUUAAUGAGGCGAACCGGGGGAACUGAAACAUCUAAGUACCCCGAGGAAAAGAAAUCAACCGAGAUUCCCCCAGUAGCGGCGAGCGAACGGGGAGCAGCCCAGAGCCUGAAUCAGUGUGUGUGUUAGUGGAAGCGUCUGGAAAGGCGCGCGAUACAGGGUGACAGCCCCGUACACAAAAAUGCACAUACUGUGAGCUCGAUGAGUAGGGCGGGACACGUGGUAUCCUGUCUGAAUAUGGGGGGACCAUCCUCCAAGGCUAAAUACUCCUGACUGACCGAUAGUGAACCAGUACCGUGAGGGAAAGGCGAAAAGAACCCCGGCGAGGGGAGUGAAAAAGAACCUGAAACCGUGUACGUACAAGCAGUGGGAGCACGCUUAGGCGUGUGACUGCGUACCUUUUGUAUAAUGGGUCAGCGACUUAUAUUCUGUAGCAAGGUUAACCGAAUAGGGGAGCCGAAGGGAAACCGAGUCUUAACUGGGCGUUAAGUUGCAGGGUAUAGACCCGAAACCCGGUGAUCUAGCCAUGGGCAGGUUGAAGGUUGGGUAACACUAACUGGAGGACCGAACCGACUAAUGUUGAAAAAUUAGCGGAUGACUUGUGGCUGGGGGUGAAAGGCCAAUCAAACCGGGAGAUAGCUGGUUCUCCCCGAAAGCUAUUUAGGUAGCGCCUCGUGAAUUCAUCUCCGGGGGUAGAGCACUGUUUCGGCAAGGGGGUCAUCCCGACUUACCAACCCGAUGCAAACUGCGAAUACCGGAGAAUGUUAUCACGGGAGACACACGGCGGGUGCUAACGUCCGUCGUGAAGAGGGAAACAACCCAGACCGCCAGCUAAGGUCCCAAAGUCAUGGUUAAGUGGGAAACGAUGUGGGAAGGCCCAGACAGCCAGGAUGUUGGCUUAGAAGCAGCCAUCAUUUAAAGAAAGCGUAAUAGCUCACUGGUCGAGUCGGCCUGCGCGGAAGAUGUAACGGGGCUAAACCAUGCACCGAAGCUGCGGCAGCGACGCUGAUGCGUUGUUGGGUAGGGGAGCGUUCUGUAAGCCUGCGAAGGUGUGCUGUGAGGCAUGCUGGAGGUAUCAGAAGUGCGAAUGCUGACAUAAGUAACGAUAAAGCGGGUGAAAAGCCCGCUCGCCGGAAGACCAAGGGUUCCUGUCCAACGUUAAUCGGGGCAGGGUGAGUCGACCCCUAAGGCGAGGCCGAAAGGCGUAGUCGAUGGGAAACAGGUUAAUAUUCCUGUACUUGGUGUUACUGCGAAGGGGGGACGGAGAAGGCUAUGUUGGCCGGGCGACGGUUGUCCCGGUUUAAGCGUGUAGGCUGGUUUUCCAGGCAAAUCCGGAAAAUCAAGGCUGAGGCGUGAUGACGAGGCACUACGGUGCUGAAGCAACAAAUGCCCUGCUUCCAGGAAAAGCCUCUAAGCAUCAGGUAACAUCAAAUCGUACCCCAAACCGACACAGGUGGUCAGGUAGAGAAUACCAAGGCGCUUGAGAGAACUCGGGUGAAGGAACUAGGCAAAAUGGUGCCGUAACUUCGGGAGAAGGCACGCUGAUAUGUAGGUGAAGUCCCUCGCGGAUGGAGCUGAAAUCAGUCGAAGAUACCAGCUGGCUGCAACUGUUUAUUAAAAACACAGCACUGUGCAAACACGAAAGUGGACGUAUACGGUGUGACGCCUGCCCGGUGCCGGAAGGUUAAUUGAUGGGGUCAGCGCAAGCGAAGCUCUUGAUCGAAGCCCCGGUAAACGGCGGCCGUAACUAUAACGGUCCUAAGGUAGCGAAAUUCCUUGUCGGGUAAGUUCCGACCUGCACGAAUGGCGUAAUGAUGGCCAGGCUGUCUCCACCCGAGACUCAGUGAAAUUGAACUCGCUGUGAAGAUGCAGUGUACCCGCGGCAAGACGGAAAGACCCCGUGAACCUUUACUAUAGCUUGACACUGAACAUUGAGCCUUGAUGUGUAGGAUAGGUGGGAGGCUUUGAAGUGUGGACGCCAGUCUGCAUGGAGCCGACCUUGAAAUACCACCCUUUAAUGUUUGAUGUUCUAACGUUGACCCGUGAUCCGGGUUGCGGACAGUGUCUGGUGGGUAGUUUGACUGGGGCGGUCUCCUCCUAAAGAGUAACGGAGGAGCACGAAGGUUGGCUAAUCCUGGUCGGACAUCAGGAGGUUAGUGCAAUGGCAUAAGCCAGCUUGACUGCGAGCGUGACGGCGCGAGCAGGUGCGAAAGCAGGUCAUAGUGAUCCGGUGGUUCUGAAUGGAAGGGCCAUCGCUCAACGGAUAAAAGGUACUCCGGGGAUAACAGGCUGAUACCGCCCAAGAGUUCAUAUCGACGGCGGUGUUUGGCACCUCGAUGUCGGCUCAUCACAUCCUGGGGCUGAAGUAGGUCCCAAGGGUAUGGCUGUUCGCCAUUUAAAGUGGUACGCGAGCUGGGUUUAGAACGUCGUGAGACAGUUCGGUCCCUAUCUGCCGUGGGCGCUGGAGAACUGAGGGGGGCUGCUCCUAGUACGAGAGGACCGGAGUGGACGCAUCACUGGUGUUCGGGUUGUCAUGCCAAUGGCACUGCCCGGUAGCUAAAUGCGGAAGAGAUAAGUGCUGAAAGCAUCUAAGCACGAAACUUGCCCCGAGAUGAGUUCUCCCUGACUCCUUGAGAGUCCUGAAGGAACGUUGAAGACGACGACGUUGAUAGGCCGGGUGUGUAAGCGCAGCGAUGCGUUGAGCUAACCGGUACUAAUGAACCGUGAGGCUUAACCUU